rnacentral:pre_miRNA from 1 species
GAAAACCUGAAAACUAUCGUUGGAUCGAAAAAUACGUCCGAGAUUCCACGUCACCAUGAGUAACAAUUUUACUCGCAGAUUUACUCAUGAGUAAAAGAGUAAAAUUUUUACUCAUACUAAUGUGAAUGAAUUUUGGAUGUCCAUUUUUCGAUCCAACGAUAAUUUUUAAAUUUUC